rnacentral:rRNA from 1 species
AUUGAACGCUGGCGGCAUGCUUUACACAUGCAAGUCGAACGGUAACAGGCCUUCGGGUGCUGACGAGUGGCGAACGGGUGAGUAAUGCAUCGGAACGUACCCAGAGGUGGGGGAUAACGCAGCGAAAGCUGUGCUAAUACCGCAUGUGAUCUGAGGAUGAAAGCGGGGGACCGAGCAGCAAUGUUUGGCCUCGCGCCUUUGGAGCGGCCGAUGUCGGAUUAGCUAGUUGGUGGGGUAAAGGCCUACCAAGGCGACGAUCCGUAGCUGGUCUGAGAGGACGACCAGCCAACCUGGGACUGAGCCACGGCCCAGACUCCUACGGGAGGCAGCAGUGGGGAAUUUUGGACAAUGGGCGCAAGCCUGAUCCAGCAAUGCCGCGUGCGGGAAGAAGGCCUUCGGGUUGUAAACCGCUUUUGGCAGGAACGAAACGGUGUCCGCUAAUACCGGGCGCUAAUGACGGUACCUGCAGAAUAAGCACCGGCUAACUACGUG